rnacentral:rRNA from 1 species
UACGGGGGGGGCAAGCGUUGUUCGGAAUUACUGGGCGUAAAGGGCGUGUAGGCGGCUGGGCAAGUCAGCUGUGAAAUCCCCAGGCUCAACUUGGGAAUUGCAACUGAAACUGCCUAGCUAGAGUUCAGGAGAGGAGAGCGGAACUCCCAGUGUAGCGGUGAAAUGCGUAGAUAUUGGGAGGAACACCGGUGGCGAAGGCGGCUCUCUGGACUGAAACUGACGCUGAGGCGCGAAAGCCAGGGGAGCAAACGGG